GCACUGUUGACGAGUUUCAAAUAGGACGAAACAGCUGUCCAGUGC
rnacentral:hammerhead_ribozyme from 1 species